rnacentral:rRNA from 1 species
UACGUAGGGGGCAAGCGUUAUCCGGAUUUACUGGGUGUAAAGGGAGCGUAGACGGCAGUGCAAGUCUGGAGUGAAAGGCGGGGGCUCAACCCCCGGACUGCUCUGGAAACUGUACGGCUGGAGUGCAGGAGAAGUAAGUGGAAUUCCUAGUGUAGCGGUGAAAUGCGUAGAUAUUAGGAGGAACACCAGUGGCGAAGGCGGCUUACUGGACUGUAACUGACGUUGAGGCUCGAAAGCGUGGGGAGCAAACAGG